GGAACCGAGGCUAAUACCGCAUAAUACCCACGGGUCAAAGGAGCAAUUCGCUUGAGGAGGGGGUCGCGGCCGAUUAGUUAGUUGGCGGGGUAAUGGCCCCACCAAGACGGUGAUCGGUAUCCGGCCUGAGAGGGCGCACGGACACACUGGAACUGAAACACGGUCCAGACUCCUACGGGAGGCAGCAGUGGGGAAUUUUGCGCAAUGGGGGAAACCCUGACGCAGCAACGCCGCGUGGAGGAUGAAGUCUCUUGGGACGUAAACUCCUUUCGAUCGGGACGAUUAUGACGGUACCGGAAGAAGAAGCCCCGGCUAACUUCGUG
rnacentral:rRNA from 1 species